AGCGAACGCUGGCGGCAGGCCUAACACAUGCAAGUCGAACGCCCCUUCGGGGGAGUGGCGGACGGGUGAGUAACACGUGGGAACCUGCCUUUUGGUUCGGGAUAACCGCGGGAAACUGCGGCUAAUACCGGAUGCUCCCGCGAGGGAAAAGAUUUAUCGCCAGAAGAGGGGCCCGCGUCCGAUUAGGUAGUUGGUGGGGU
rnacentral:rRNA from 1 species